rnacentral:rRNA from 1 species
AAAUGAAUUGACGGGGGCCCGCACAAGCGGUGGAGCACGUGGUUUAAUUCGAUGCAAACCGAAGAACCUUACCCGGGUUUGACAUGUAUGUAGUACAGAAGUGAAAGCGGACGGAACUCAGCUUGCUGAGUAGCAUACACAGGUGCUGCAUGGCUGUCGCCAGCUCGUGUCGUGAGAUGUUGGGUUAAGUCCCGCAACGAGCGCAACCCCUAUAGUCAGUUGCUAACGGUACGGCCGAGCACUCUGGCAAGACUGCCGCCGACAAGGCGGAGGAAGGUGGGGACGACGUCAAGUCAUCAUGGCCUUUAUACCCGGGGCGACACACGUGCUACAAUGGCCGGCACAGACGGCAGCUUAGUGGAGACACUUGGCGAAUCCUCUAAAGCCGGUCCCAGUUCGGAUUGCAGUCUGCAACUCGACUACAUGAAGCCGGAAUCGCUAGUAAUCGCAGAUCAGCCAAGCUGCGGUGAAUACGUUCCCGGGCCUUGUACACACCGCCCGU